rnacentral:lncRNA from 1 species
AGAAGAUAAUACAAAAUGGAGUUUCUUGAACAACUUUACAUCAACAGGAUGUACCAUACUACAACUAAUUAUGUUUCCCAUUAUGUAUUACUUUCUAAGUAAAGUGACAGUGCUAAACGAUUGUUUCUCAGAGGAAACUCUCCAAGUCCUUACUCAAACAUGGGAACACAGCAGGGAAAUCAUCUAUAACAGUGAUUGCUGA